AAUAGAUACCCUGGUAGUCCACGCCGUAAACGAUGAGUGCUAAGUGUUAGAGGGUUUCCGCCCUUUAGUGCUGCAGCUAACGCAUUAAGCACUCCGCCUGGGGAGUACGGUCGCAAGACUGAAACUCAAAGGAAUUGACGGGGGCCCGCACAAGCGGUGGAGCAUGUGGUUUAAUUCGAAGCAACGCGAAGAACCUUACCAGGUCUUGACAUCCUCUGACAACUCUAGAGAUAGAGUGUUCCCCUUCGGGGGACAGAGUGACAGGUGGUGCAUGGUUGUCGUCAGCUCGUGUCGUGAGAUGUUGGGUUAAGUCCCGCAACGAGCGCAACCCUUGACCUUAGUUGCCAGCAUUUAGUUGGGCACUCUAAGGUGACUGCCGGUGACAAACCGGAGGAAGGUGGGGAUGACGUCAAAUCAUCAUGCCCCUUAUGACCUGGGCUACACACGUGCUACAAUGGAUGGUACAAAGGGCUGCAAGACCGCGAGGUCAAGCCAAUCCCAUAAAACCAUUCUCAGUUCGGAUUGUAGG
rnacentral:rRNA from 1 species